AGACUCAACGUUUCUUUUCCCGAGCAAGGCCUUGAUUGCUUGCAGAGAAAACUUUCCUGUGGCUUUAUCAUUAGUUGCCCUUCAGAGCUUUCCUGUGUAAAUAAGGAGCUAUGUUUUGGAGAAGUUUACACCGUAGAUGAACGGGAGCGAUCUGAACGUACUGCACUGCAGAUCAGACCAAACAUUGUCUGGCUUGCACUGUAAAACUAGUUAGCUGAAGACGACUUCUCAGGUUUCUUCAGGAUGCCUGCAGCACUUGUGGAGAAUAGCCAGGUUAUCUGUGAAGUGUGGGCCAGUAAUCUAGAAGAAGAGAUGAGGAAGAUCCGAGAAAUCGUGCUCAGUUACAGUUAUAUUGCCAUGGACACAGAAUUUCCAGGUGUUGUGGUGCGACCAAUUGGUGAAUUUCGUAGUUCCAUAGAUUACCAAUAUCAGCUUCUGCGGUGCAAUGUUGACCUUUUAAAAAUUAUCCAGCUGGGCCUUACAUUCACAAAUGAGAAGGGAGAGUAUCCUUCUGGAAUCAAUACUUGGCAGUUCAAUUUCAAAUUUAACCUUACAUAUAAGAAAGAAAAAGUCAACAAUAAUACAUGUGUUGCUUG
rnacentral:sRNA from 1 species